UUAGGCGAACGGGGGAGUAACGCGUGAGUAACCUGCCCUCGGAGUGGGGGGACAACAGUUGGAAACGACUGCUAAUACCGCAUAAGCCCACGAUCCGGCAUCGGAUUGAGGGAAAAGGAUUUAUUCGCUUCAGGAUGGACUCGCGUCCAAUUAGCUGGUUGGUGAGGUAACGGCCCACCAAGGCGACGAUUGGUAGCCGGACUGAGAGGUUGAACGGCCACAUUGGGACUGAGACACGGCCCAG
rnacentral:rRNA from 1 species